rnacentral:misc_RNA from 1 species
UCGUAUUCGUUCGAGGGGUGGAAGACGGAGCGACGACGUCAGCCAUAUUCUUUGCCGCUUUCUGCCUCCACGCAUAUACACGCAUCUCUGCCGGCACUCGACGACCGCAUCUGCUCUCUUCUCCGCUGCCCCGGCCAUCUUCACCGCCGUUUCGCAUCUGUGCCGAGUCACGUUAGACGAUAGACAUCGUGGCUGUCGUGUUGACAACUCGCGCAGCUCAUCAUUGCGCUCCUUUUUCGUUUGGUGUGCGCCUCCGCUCUGUCGCGCGGCGUUGCGGCCCACAUCUGUUUCCAUAUACGUAUCCUUUCCUGUCGCUCUUUCAUUCCCAUCGACUUCCACGUUGCCAAAGCCUGGACUGGCCCACAAAGCCGCUGGCAUCCGAGUCGGCGCUCCCCCGACCGAAUUCACGGACAUGUCCUCCUCGUCCUUUUCCGACCACAAUUAUCGCCAAGCGAUCAUCGACUUGUACAAGAAAUACGACCCUGCCAAGGUGUCGCGCGUGGAUGAGCUGCUGCGCCGGUUUUCGGGGCACGAGGAGGCCCUCGUGAACGUCCUGGAGCGAAAGUUCCGCGAGGGCAUGGCAUCAGCGGGCGCGCAGGCUUCCACUGCGCACUGCGCGGAUGCCGCACAGGCCCGUGUAACGCUAGAGGGCAGCAGCUACUCAGGACCUUCGCCAAACGCGCCGCGCACUAUCAACAUUUCGAUCAAGUGUGAUGAUUCACUGCCAUAUGUGGUUGCAGAGCAGCCGGUCGCGUCGCCUUCCGACCGCGAUGCUGCGACGGCCAGCGAGAAUGUAGACCGCUAUGUAUACCGCACGCGACUGCUGCGCCUCUAUGAAGCCUACGCCCCACUUCGUGUGAGUCAGGUCGAUCAUGAACUAGACAACUGCAAGGGGCGGGAAGAGGCAUAUCUGUGCGCGAUGGAGAAGGAACUUAGGGGAGUGCAGACCGCGGAGGGUGCCGAGGACGCCACGGAGGAGACGUCGCUGCCGGCCACACUAUCCCUCGUAGAAGCGGGUCCUCUCGACGACCACCAGAGGCGUACCAACAACAGCGCCGGCUAUGAGGUCUCCAAGGCGGGACUGCUGUGCAGUUACGAGACAGAUGCACCAGACCCGGCAAACAACGCGGAGCGCCAGCUGCAGCUCUACCUGGGGCGAGACGAGGAGGCUAUCCAGGAGGCUGUGGCCGAGUACGGCCCUGUGCCAGUCGUCUCAGUAGUGGACACCGAGGCAACGAGCCCCGCAUUGGCAGCCGGCUUGAAGAGGGAGUACACCGCGACAGCAACCGCAAACAGCACAGGCCCUUUGAAGACGCCGUCUCCAAGUGCACCGCUUCCGAUAGCGGCUACGCCUCAGGAAGCCGCAAAGGCUGCCAAACACACACUCGAUGGGGUGGCGCCUCCUCCCUCGGCAGCAGCGACUCUUCCGACUCGAGCCGAGACUGCAGCAACGCCAUCGACAUCUCAGGAGGCGAAGGUGGCUGCAGUGGUGGCGCGCAUCACAGAGCACAACGGCGGCGCUGUUGAUGAUGCGGCUGCUCCCACGCAGGCGCCAAGACUUAAUGCGACUGCCUUGGGGUUGGCGAUGCCCCCCUAUAGCGGCGAUGCGCGGCACGCCUCCUCGCCUCCGGACAGGCGCGCCGCGACGCCAGUUGUGACACGUGACAAACCAGCGCCUGUUGCUGCGGUGGAACCUCUGCAGGCGGCUUCAGCAAGGAAAGCUGACGUACGCAGCAGCGCAUCGCGACUCUCCAAGGCUGCUUUACCCGCGCGCAAAGGUGAGUCGGCGCGGACCCUCGUCUUGGCCAGAGGCGAGAUCGAUGCCUCGCUGAGUAGCACCAUGAGGCGGACGGCGCUCUUCGACGUCGUUUUCUACGACUUCUUCCGCGUUCUGGGAAGCUUUCACGUGCAUGGAUGCGAGAGGGUGAGCCUACGAGUGGCCAGCGUGCUGCUUGGCGCCUUGUUCCAAGAGGCAUCACCGGCGAAAGUACGUUGGGAGCAUGGCGACAUGUCGUGCGUGAGCGAAAAGAAUGCCGGCGUGUCAGCUGAGGAGAUGCGAGAGCUCAUUGUGCAGGGAGCAACGCGGCAGCUGCGGAGCCAAGUCAGCGUGCCGAAUCGGCGCGUGGCGCAGUUUACACACUCGCUGGUCCGCCGCAUGGCAAAGUUUGUGCAGACCUGUCGCAUGGCGGUGGUGCAGCUUCAGCGGCAGCCGCAUCCUCUCUCCGCUGGAUUCUGGGUGCAUCGCUCUGUUCUUCCACGUGCUGUACCCCACUGGAAGCGGUGCUGGGCUACGACGAGCACAGACGGCGACGCCAUCUCCGUGUGCUAUGCGGGCUCUCUCAAAACGGAGUUGCGCAUUCCUUUUGUGCGUGUCGCGCGUUGCUACCGCGAGCGAUACGCGGCUGGUGCGCCGCCCGUGUACGCGCGCAACGGCCUCGCUUUCCAGCUGACAACCGGCACGCCGCCGUUGCUCGUUGUGGUGUGCCCGGAAUCGUGUGAUGUGACCACGCAGCUACUUUCUGCUUUCCGCUCGUGGAGCCGCUCGCCGCGCAACGUUGAUGAGAAGAGCACCGCAACGCACGUUGCCUCCUCGCUGGCCCCGGCGCCAGACUCACAAUGCGACGUCGCAGAAAGCAGCAAACACUUGGAAUCGAAUCAGGUCCGGGCUUGGGUUCUCGUGAGAGCCACAUCGACGUACGAGCCGCAAAGGUGGUGCGUGGAGGAUCUGUCGAUAUACAUGAUGAGCGAUCGCACCCGCGAGCUGCAUACCUGUUCGGUUGCUGAUGUGGAAGGCGUGGUUGAUGAGAUUGAGCUGCCCGUGACACCGCCGACGAGGCGCGCGCAUGGUUUUGUGAUUUGCCUUGGAAACGGCGCGGCUCCCUUGAUGGCGUUCACCGAGCAACCGCAAGACCGAACUCGACUGCUUGAUCGUGUGUAUCAGAGCCAGGCGCUUCUUCAAGUAGAAGCGAAGGUAACGGGAAAGGUUAACGGAGGCGGUUAGCUGCGCUCCCUCUGCGCACCGCGUCUGUGUGUAAAACUUACCUGCGUGAGUGCCUGCGUGAGCUUGAGGAUGGCAGAGGAGACGGCAGCGGUGCUGCCAGCUACUGUGCAUGCAUUUGUGUCAACGCACGUGCCAUCUUUGUCUUUUCCCGCACACGUCCUCUGCUUGCCCUCUCUCCACCUCGUGCGCGUCCAUGACGCCCCCUCCCUUUUCGGUUUAUCUCUCCUCAGUCUGUGCUGUAUCGAGGCGGCGCAGCCGAAUAACGCCAC